CCGAUAGUGAACCAGUACCGUGAGGGAAAGGCGAAAAGAACCCCGGCGAGGGGAGUGAAAAAGAACCUGAAACCGUGUACGUACAAGCAGUGGGAGCCCCACCACUAAGCCAGUGGUGAACUCCACAUACGCAUCCUUUGCUGAGAAUACGGUUAACGGAGCGAAAGCGACGUUCAACCUCAAAAGAAGCAGAGGGGGCUUAGUGGUGGGGUGACUGCGUACCUUUUGUAUAAUGGGUCAGCGACUUAUAUUCUGUAGCAAGGUUAACCGCAUAGGGGAGCCGGAGGGAAACCGAGUCUUAAUUGGGCGUUAAGUUGCAGGGUAUAGACCCGAAACCCGGUGAUCUAGCCAUGGGCAGGUUGAAGGUUGGGUAACACUAACUGGAGGACCGAACCGACUAAUGUUGAAAAAUUAGCGGAUGACCUGUGGCUGGGGGUGAAAGGCCAAUCAAACCGGGAGAUAGCUGGUUCUCCCCGAAAGCUAUUUAGGUAGCGCCUCGUGAAUUCAUCUCCGGGGGUAGAGCACUGUUUCGGCUAGGGGGCCAUCCCGGCUUACCAACCCGAUGCAAACUGCGAAUACCGGAGAAUGUUAUCACGGGAGACACACGGCGGGUGCUAACGUCCGUCGUGAAGAGGGAAACAACCCAGACCGCCAGCUAAGGUCCCAAAGUCAUGGUUAAGUGGGAAACGAUGUGGGAAGGCCCAGACAGCCAGGAUGUUGGCUUAGAAGCAGCCAUCAUUUAAAGAAAGCGUAAUAGCUCACUGGUCGAGUCGGCCUGCGCGGAAGAUGUAACGGGGCUAAACCAUGCACCGAAGCUGCGGCAGCGACACUGUGUGUUGUUGGGUAGGGGAGCGUUCUGUAAGCCUGUGAAGGUGUGUCGUGAGGCAUGCUGGAGGUAUCAGAAGUGCGAAUGCUGACAUAAGUAACGAUAAAGCGGGUGAAAAGCCCGCUCGCCGGAAGACCAAGGGUUCCUGUCCAACGUUAAUCGGGGCAGGGUGAGUCGACCCCUAAGGCGAGGCCGAAAGGCGUAGUCGAUGGGAAACGGGUUAAUAUUCCCGUACUUGGUGUUACUGCGAAGGGGGGACGGAGAAGGCUAUGUUGGCCGGGCGACGGUUGUCCCGGUUUAAGCGUGUAGGUGUGUGUUCCAGGUAAAUCCGGUUCACUUUAACACUGAGGCGUGAUGACGAGGCACUACGGUGCUGAAGCAACAAAUGCCCUGCUUCCAGGAAAAGCCUCUAAGCAUCAGGUAACAUCAAAUCGUACCCCAAACCGACACAGGUGGUCAGGUAGAGAAUACCAAGGCGCUUGAGAGAACUCGGGUGAAGGAACUAGGCAAAAUGGUGCCGUAACUUCGGGAGAAGGCACGCUGACAUGUAGGUGAAGUGAUUUACUCAUGGAGCUGAAGUCAGUCGAAGAUACCAGCUGGCUGCAACUGUUUAUUAAAAACACAGCACUGUGCAAACACGAAAGUGGACGUAUACGGUGUGACGCCUGCCCGGUGCCGGAAGGUUAAUUGAUGGGGUCAGCGCAAGCGAAGCUCCUGAUCGAAGCCCCGGUAAACGGCGGCCGUAACUAUAACGGUCCUAAGGUAGCGAAAUUCCUUGUCGGGUAAGUUCCGACCUGCACGAAUGGCGUAAUGAUGGCCAGGCUGUCUCCACCCGAGACUCAGUGAAAUUGAACUCGCUGUGAAGAUGCAGUGUACCCGCGGCAAGACGGAAAGACCCCGUGAACCUUUACUAUAGCUUGACACUGAACAUUGAGCCUUGAUGUGUAGGAUAGGUGGGAGGCUUUGAAGCGUGGACGCCAGUCUGCGUGGAGCCGACCUUGAAAUACCACCCUUUAAUGUUUGAUGUUCUAACGUGGACCCGUGAUCCGGGUUGCGGACAGUGUCUGGUGGGUAGUUUGACUGGGGCGGUCUCCUCCUAAAGAGUAACGGAGGAGCACGAAGGUUGGCUAAUCCUGGUCGGACAUCAGGAGGUUAGUGCAAUGGCAUAAGCCAGCUUGACUGCGAGCGUGACGGCGCGAGCAGGUGCGAAAGCAGGUCAUAGUGAUCCGGUGGUUCUGAAUGGAAGGGCCAUCGCUCAACGGAUAAAAGGUACUCCGGGGAUAACAGGCUGAUACCGCCCAAGAGUUCAUAUCGACGGCGGUGUUUGGCACCUCGAUGUCGGCUCAUCACAUCCUGGGGCUGAAGUAGGUCCCAAGGGUAUGGCUGUUCGCCAUUUAAAGUGGUACGCGAGCUGGGUUUAGAACGUCGUGAGACAGUUCGGUCCCUAUCUGCCGUGGGCGCUGGAGAACUGAGGGGGGCUGCUCCUAGUACGAGAGGACCGGAGUGGACGCAUCACUGGUGUUCGGGUUGUCAUGCCAAUGGCACUGCCCGGUAGCUAAAUGCGGAAGAGAUAAGUGCUGAAAGCAUCUAAGCACGAAACUUGCCCCGAGAUGAGUUCUCCCUGAGACUUAGAGUCUCCUGAAGGAACGUUGAAGACGACGACGUUGAUAGGCCGGGUGUGUAAGCGCAGCGAUGCGUUGAGCUAACCGGUACUAAUGAACCGUGAGGCUUAACCUUACAACGCCGAAG
rnacentral:rRNA from 1 species